rnacentral:rRNA from 1 species
UGGAAAAUUGGUAAUGGCAAAAGGAUCAGAUUCUGGGAGGACCAUUGGUUUGGAAAUGCCACCUUGGCUACCCAGUAUUGGGACCUAUAUGUUCUUGCUAAUGAGCAUAAUGCCACCAUUGAUAAAAUUUGGGAUGGUAGUAACCUUAAAAUUACUUUCCGGAGAUGUUUCACUCAGGAGAUUAUGUCUCUGUGGUUUGAGCUCUUGGAAAUAGCCAGUUCUAUUCAUCUCACUGUAGAGGAUGACUCCCCUGUAUGGAAUAUGAAUUCCAAAGGGGUAUACUCUGUUAAAUCCUUUUAUAAGUUCAUAAAUUUCAGAGGUGUGUUGCUUAGUAGUUCCCCUGCCAUUUGGAAGAUCAAAAUUCCUCCUAGAAUUCAGAUCUUUCUCUGGCUCUUGACUAAUAACAAGUUGUUAACCAGAGAUAAUUUGUCCAAAAGGCAGGAGGUAGGCGAUUUCACCUGUGUUUUUUGCACUGAAUAA